GCAUCUCCAAUUUCUUGCCACCACAGACGGAUGUUUCAGUGAAGUAGUUUUGCUCCAACCUCUCUGCCAUCUGCCAUGCGAUGGGCGCUAGAGCACAUCCCGUUGAGGAAGUCGGUAGCUAGGGGUGGAGGAGCAAAGUUCAAGUUAACAACGUUGAUGUUUAAUGGUAGCUACUAGAGAUCCUGGAUGCUGACUCUGCCUAGGUUUUCACAAUACCUGGACCUCAAAGAUGAGCUGCUUUUGAUGCUGAAAUGCACUGACACGGCACUACUUUGUGACAUCACACAUCAGACAGGACCUGAGUAACCUGAGUAAGUCAUCAGACGUCUGUUAUCAGAACCACAAGAAGAGGAACGCAUGUGUUUCAGGUUUUCCUGCUAUUACUGAGAAGACGUUGCUCUUGAUGCCGGAAUGCCCUGAAACUGCACCACUUUGUGAUGACAUCAAACAUCAGAGAAACUACAUCCAAGGUGCCUUGGGCCUAUUUAGAAUGUACUAGGCUGUUCAAUGAGUAAAAAAGGUUAUAUGGGCAAUUCCAUGCUGGUGGAGACACAAGACCAAACAAUUAUUUUACGAUUUGUUCUCGUUUGAUUUGCUGAAGUGACAUAAUAUAGCUUGGCGUUUUUAAAACUGAAAUAGUUUCGUCCCAUGCGCGCACUUUUUGUGAGUUACGGUACACCAUCACAUCAAAGUCUGCAAUGACGUCAUGAUGACUUAUGGAUGCACUGGUAAGUAAUUUUGAAGUUGUCUUUUGCUAUCUAUUCAGUAAUAUUUUUCUCAAUUUGCUGUGUUACCAUUUUAAGGGUGUUUGGAUAUUAUUUGUAGUUUUUAAUUUUAGUCAGAUUUUGCUUGUAAAAUGAUGUACAAAUCUAAUUAUUUAUAAGUCACCAAAAUGGAUUUGUUUUUUUUUGUAAAUACCUACAUUUUUUACCAAUGAAUUAUUCUGUUAAAAGUUUCUUAGCUUGAGUUUUGAGAAGUAUAUUUAAAACUAGAAUUUUGUUUACAUUUUUGUUUUAUGCUUAGACCAGCCAUGAAAUAUUGUAAUGUCAGCCACAUGUAAUGUCAUGCAGUCACAAUCUCUUAGCGUAACGUAGUGCCAGUCACAUUAUUGCACAGUCCAUAGUUGAGGAAAAUGCAAGUACACAUGUUAUUUAAGUCCAUACACAUACAAGUAGUCAACUCUUUGAACCAAAAUGCAACUGAGUGCCAAGCCACUGUCUGAGCAACUUACAUAUUAUUCACAAAAUGAGUCUUUUUAAAAUUUAAUUUGGACAUCUGUAACCCUUUGAUAAAACGAAAAAUAUAUUUGUUUUGCUUUUGGGCACAAGUAGUCUAUCAUUGUCCAUUCUGAUGGGGUGGGGUGGGGGAAGUCUUCCCUGUGAGAACUGAAUUAUUGUUUGGCACCAAAUAGUUUGAUAUUCAUAAUUCCCUAUUUAUUACUAAACAUUGGCUAACUUAUUUCAUUUGUUUUGUUGUUGGUACAUUGGAUAACUUUGGUAUUGCUAGAAAAAUAGCAAGUAAAAUUGUGUUAAUGUAAACAUGUACAAAUUAUGAUUAAUUCUGUUGAAUAUUUUAUAUUUUCAGGAAAGAUGUACAGCCAAGUUGCAACUUGGAGAGAGAAAGACACAGCAGAAACAAAACUUGGAGGAAAAGGAUUGUAUGAAGACCACAAGAGGAACAAAUGAAAGAGGAAUAGACAGAAAAGAACAGAACAUGAGGAGUUUCAUAAGUGGGCAGGAAUAAAACUAGGAGAAAAGUAGUUAGAAUUGAGCAUGGAAUUUGUUGAACAUGUUGAGACCUCAAAAUUUGUAAUAACACAGAAAAUAUGAUGCAAGUCUAUUUACACAGUUUUUAUUGGAGACAACUGUACUAUUAUUAUGGUCGCUUUGCAAAAUUUCUUACUUAAUUAGCUUUAUGAUCAGUUACUUUUUGGUGUUGAUGGUAUAUACAUGUAGGUUUUUUAUUAUGUUUUUGUUUUUGAUAAAUUCUAAAAUUCUUUGAGUUUGGAUAUUGAAAAAUUAUUUUUGGUCUCGAAUACAGUCACUGUUGGAAAUUAUAAAGAAAAUAAAACUUGACCUUAACAGAAACUUUUCAAUUCACAGUGUCUCAUUUCUCAAUUAUUAUGACUAUAAAAACUUUCAUUUUACAUCUUUGUACAUGUAUAAAGUGUUAUACUGGCUAUAAAUUAUAUGAGAAAUAAAAUAUGACAUCCAUUGGCCUUUAACAUGAAGAGAAAUUCCCAAUUUGAUCUGUCAUUUGUUUCCUGUGUUGCUUUUAUGUAAUGUCGGUCACAAUAAAGAAAGAGUUCUGUAAGCGAAGGACAGAAAAGAUCAAUGCGUCUACAGGUUGAAAAAUGUAAAAACACUUCAUCCCCCCAAAAAUGAUGCGUAUUGGAAUUAUAUGAUGCGGCUGAUUAGUGUA
rnacentral:misc_RNA from 1 species